GAGAUCUACCUGCCUCUGUCUUCUGAGUGCUGGGAUUAAAGGCGUGCACCACCACCGCCCAGAUAAAAAUUCCCAUCACUUAGUCUAGAUGUGCGACUUUAGCAUUUGGGUGAUAAAUGUGACACAUUUAAGAACUUACUUUUCCAGAAUAUGGAGCUGGAUUCAGAGACAUAAAUUCCCCUGAUGUUAUGAUAGAGUUAGUGCAUUAUCAUUUCAUAGGCACUCUUCAAAUCUGACUUAAAAAUAUGUGUGUGUGUCUUCCUUGCAACUCCACGCAUCUCCAUUUCCCUUAAUCACCCAUUGCUUUCUCAGACAUUACCACACAAACAUGAGGAGUGACUUGUUAAGAAAAUUUGCAAGAUAAACCAUAGUCAUGUGGCACAGCAGCAGCUACAAAUUUGAAAGGUGUUUUGUGGGAAAAGAACGUUAAGUUACAAAAAAGGGUCACAGAUGAACUCUGCAGUAUUUCAUUCUGUGUAGAAAUUUCGUUACAUUUACCUACGAUCAGAUAAACAUGGAAUAACUUUCCUUGAUUUCUAAAAUUGAUUUAUGUAUUUCCAUGUGCACCACGAGUGUGAUCUCCUGCCCCUGGAGGCCAGAAGAGGACACUGUCCUCAGAUCCCCAGAAUGCAAAUUGCAAGCAGCAGUGAGCCACUUUGUGGGUGCUGGGAAUUGAAUCUGGGUCAUCUGCAAGAGCAACAUAUGCUCUGAAUUACCGAGCGAGUCAUCUCUCUAGCCCCACUUCCUUUCAUCUUUACUGAGAACAUGUUGCCACCUAGACUGUCAUCUCAUCAUUGCCAUCACCAGCAUUGGUCCCUCUAUUGAGGACUCAUGUGUGAAGAAAAAGAAGUGCCUGUGUGUGCCAGGCUCUUCAGGCUCUAAAACUAUGUGGAUUCCAACUUGACUACUUGAAUAAACCAGGAGCUGUGAGUAGCGAAUUAUACUAGGAAGCAUCCACAAGUCCCAUUUCCACAAACACUGACGCCUACUGGGAAGAAGAGAAGUUCAGGUCCCUCUCAUAUUUCAUUAUGUGGGGCCUCCUGAGAAAUACUCUAAAUUCUGUAAUGGGAAGUCACUGGCCUUUCAGCAGGUAAAUGUGGUUUUUCUCCAGGUUUUUAGAAGUCCCUAUAAUGCAGGAAGUUUGCCUGAGUAAGAGACAUCUUCUGGCUCUCAUUCUUCCACUGUAUUGUAUGAUUGUGUUUACCUACGCAGAGAUACACAUACUUCUAAAAAUACAGAGUAUAAUGCUUCUGGGUACCACUAAGGGUGAUCAGUAUCUUCAUUUUAGCUUAAUUUUAUUAUCUGAUUUUUCUGCAAUUCUCAGUAUCACUUGUGGAAUUAAAGUUUUAAGCUAAAUGAAAUUUUUCCCCUUAAAUGUUUCAUUAAUCUCUAGAAGGUGGACACCAGGCACACACAUGGUACAUAGCCAAAAAUUCAAGCAAAACACUCACACACAUAAAAAGAAACAAUAAUAAUUCUGAAAAGAGGUAGUAGGGUAAAUUUUCUUUUGCUGUGUGUGUAGAAUAAACCUUUAGUCCCAGCACUUGGGAAGCACAUGCAGUUGGCUUUCUGUGACUCCAAAUCCAGCAUGAUCUAUAUGCCAAGUUUUAAGCUAACCAGGGACACACAGUUAAAUUCUAUCUCAAAAAAACAUACUCAUUAUUAUUCAAAAGCAGUCUUCAUAACUAUUGUCAUGAGGAAGAAAAGGUAAAGACACUUAUGCACACUCAUACACUUUAUUAAAAUGUAUAGAUAAAUUAUAUAUAUUUUAAAUGGAGAUCAGUAUUUCAUAAAAUUUUGGGGAGGUUGCUUCAGUAAAUCAAUAUUCUUCCCUUUCCCUAAGCCUGCCUGCUACCUCAAAUGAUACCCUAGAGCACAGCCUUUGCAUUUCAUUCACUGUCAAAACUGUAAACACCCUGUGGCUUGACUGCUCAGGUCAACCAUAGUCUUCAUCUCCUCUGUGAUCAGGGCAAGCUGGAAGUUCAUGGCUAGCAUUUAGAAUUCACAGCAGGUGAACACAGCAGACAGGCCAAUCAAAUAUGUGCUUACACAGUGAAUUUCUAUGAGGCCCCUCAUAUGAGGUGAGCUGCUGUUGGUAGGUACCCAACAAUGGCAAUCCAGUUUCCAUAGACUAAACCACUAAGCUUGCAGUGUGACAUAUUUGGUGAUUUCCACAUAACUAUGAUUGAUUUUCUUUACUGAGACUCUUUAUUGCUAUUUCAGUUCUAUAAUUACUUCUCAAAAAUCUCAUGUCAUGGUGACACCUCCCUUCUCUCAUUCUCAUCUCAUGCUAUUAACAAGAUAGCAAUAAACUAUGGGUUUUUUUUUUCAACCCUGGUUGCUUUCCAUUUUCUUUCCCUUUGACUUGGGCUUCUAAACUAGGUCAGUCCAAAGUCUGAGAUACUUCUUUUAUUCCAGGAAUUAACAU